GACGAACGCUGGCGGCGUGCUUAACACAUGCAAGUCGAACGGAAAGGCCCUGCUUUUGUGGGGUGCUCGAGUGGCGAACGGGUGAGUAACACGUGAGUAACCUGCCCUUGACUUUGGGAUAACUUCAGGAAACUGGGGCUAAUACCGGAUAGGAGCUCCUGCUGCAUGGUGGGGGUUGGAAAGUUUCGGCGGUUGGGGAUGGACUCGCGGCUUAUCAGCUUGUUGGUGGGGUAGUGGCUUACCAAGGCUUUGACGGGUAGCCGGCCUGAGAGGGUGACCGGCCACAUUGGGACUGAGAUACGGCCCAGACUCCUACGGGAGGCAGCAGUGGGGAAUAUUGCACAAUGGGCGGAAGCCUGAUGCAGCAACGCCGCGUGCGGGAUGACGGCCUUCGGGUUGUAAACCGCUUUCGCCUGUGACGAAGCGUGAGUGACGGUAAUGGGUAAAGAAGCACCGGCUAACUACGUGCCAGCAGCCGCGGUGAUACGUAGGGUGCGAGCGUUGUCCGGAUUUAUUGGGCGUAAAGGGCUCGUAGGUGGUUGAUCGCGUCGGAAGUGUAAUCUUGGGGCUUAACCCUGAGCGUGCUUUCGAUACGGGUUGACUUGAGGAACGUAGGGGAGAAUGGAAUUCCUGGUGGAGCGGUGGAAUGCGCAGAUAUCAGGAGGAACACCAGUGGCGAAGGCGGUUCUCUGGGCCUUUCCUGACGCUGAGGAGCGAAAGCGUGGGGAGCGAACAGGCUUAGAUACCCUGGUAGUCCACGCUGUAAACGGUGGGUACUAGGUGUGGGGUCCAUUCCACGGGUUCCGUGCCGUAGCUAACGCUUUAAGUACCCCGCCUGGGGAGUACGGCCGUAAGGCUAAAACUCAAAGGAAUUGACGGGGCCCCGCACAAGCGGCGGAGCAUGCGGAUUAAUUCGAUGCAACGCGUAGAACCUUACCUGGGUUUGACAUGGAUCGGGAGUGCUCAGAGAUGGGUGUGCCUCUUUUGGGGUCGGUUCACAGGUGGUGCAUGGCUGUCGUCAGCUCGUGUCGUGAGAUGUUGGGUUAAGUCCCGCAACGAGCGCAACCCUUGUUCACUGUUGCCAGCACGUUAUGGUGGGGACUCAGUGGAGACCGCCGGGGUCAACUCGGAGGAAGGUGGGGAUGACGUCAAGUCAUCAUGCCCCUUAUGUCCAGGGCUUCACGCAUGCUACAAUGGCUGGUACAGAGAGUGGCGAGCCUGUGAGGGUGAGCGAAUCUCGGAAAGCCGGUCUCAGUUCGGAUUGGGGUCUGCAACUCGACCUCAUGAAGUCGGAGUCGCUAGUAAUCGCAGAUCAGCAACGCUGCGGUGAAUACGUUCCCGGG
rnacentral:rRNA from 1 species